GAGGUAACAUUCUAGGACAUGUCCUUGUCGUGCAGCUUGACAUCCAACGUUUUGUUGGUUUGUUAAGCUGCCUCUGUACACCUCACCUGGCCAUAGAGUAAUACAGAGGUACAUAGUACCAGUGUAAUGAUGUGACAUCUCAUGUUACCAAACAUUCAUUGGCCUCCAAUCCCUCAAACAUUA
rfam:Strongylocentrotus purpuratus Contig54627_fixed, whole genome shotgun sequence.